rnacentral:rRNA from 1 species
AUUGAACGCUGGCGGCAGGCCUAACACAUGCAAGUCGAACGAGUGGCGGACGGGUGAGUAAUGUCUGGGAAACUGCCUGAUGGAGGGGGAUAACUACUGGAAACGGUAGCUAAUACCGCAUACCAUCAGAUGUGCCCAGAUGGGAUUAGCUUGUUGGUGGGGUAACGGCUCACCAAGGCGACGAUCCCUAGCUGGUCUGAGAGGUAGCCCAGCCACGCUGGCACUGAGACACGGUCCAGACUCCUACGGGAGGAAGAAGUGGGGAACCUUGCACAAUGAGAGCAAGCCUGAUACAGCCACGCCGCGUGUAUCAAGAAGGCUUUCGAGUAGUAAAGUACUUUCAGCGGGGAGCAGUUACCCGCAGAAGAAGCCCCGGCUAACUCCGUGACAGCAGCCGCGAUAAUAA